CCGUAUGCCCCUGUACGCCUUCUUCUCCACCUUCUUCUCCGGCGCCGGUGAGAGGUUAUCGCUCCCCCAUGGACGGGGAUCUCCUGUUAGAAGGACCAUCACAGUUCAGUUCGACAGGAGAAUAAGGAUCCUUCGGGAAGCCACGAACAGGUUGCGGUAGGGGAGGAUUUCCUUGCCGGCGACCCUCGAAGCCGGAGCAACGGAGAGCGUCGGGGCCGCCGCCGCCCCUGGACGAGGUGAGCCCCUUCUUCGUCGGGUCACCUCCCCGCCGGAGGGCCGCCUCCCUGAAGGCUAUGAAUUCCGAGAUGAUGGCUCCUCCGCACAUCCUUGACUCUCUCUCUCUCUCUCUCUAAAGAAGGAGACGAGUGGGAUCGUGGGCCGUCGACGGUAGACUGUGGCGGCAAGAGAGCGGAGGAGCUCGCCGCCGCCUUACUCCUCGUCUGCGAACUCCACUCGAUUUAUUCUGCAAGAAGAAAAAAAAGAGCGAUCUUUGGAGGGAAAGGACAGGUGGCGGGGGCCCCAGACGCCGUCCAACCGGGCCCAGGAAAACGACAAC
rnacentral:lncRNA from 1 species